UAUAUCACAUGCCAUUUAUUUUUAUUUGUACAAAUUUACAUUAAUUUUACUACAUACAUAUAUAUUUUAAGCGUUCAUAACAAACUUAGAAAAUAGCGGAUGAAAUCCAGUACACCAAUCAUCUAGUCUUAGCAAAUACUAUUAUUUUACCAUAAUUAUUCCAGAUCCUUCUUUAAAAAAAAAAUGUUACUAACAUAACUAAAGUAACCAAACAUAACCACCAAACCACUGUCUCACCCCAAUGCUAUCCACUUCCUGCCUUAUUAUACUAACAAUAUCCUGAAGCGUAUAGAACUUUUAGUUAAUAUUUUUAUAUUUUACCACACAUGUCUAUGCCAUUACCAAUAUAGAUAAUGUUCUUUGGAGUUUUUAACUUACAUAAGUGAGAGGAUACUGACCAUGUUCUUCAACAGCUUGCUUUUAUCUCCCAACUCUGUUUUCAAGAUUCAUUCGUUAGUAUAUUUAUAAAUUUCACUUAUUUAUGCAGCAUUUUAUAUGAACAUAUUACAAUUUAUCUAUUCCUUCAUUGACAGACAUUUAGAGGAUUUCCAGUUUGCCCCUAUUCUAAACAGUGCUCAGGCAAUGACCUCUUACAUACCUUCUUGUGAACCACAGUAAGAUUAUGUACUUUGACCUGAUAAAAAGAAAUGGAGAAGAUUCCUAAAUACUUAGGGUAUUCAAUUAGGAUAAAAGGAAAUCAAAUUGUCCCUGUUUGCAGAUGACAUGAUUGUAUAUCUAGAAAACCCCAUUGUCUCAGCCCAAAAUCUCCUUCAGCAACUUUAGCAAAGUCUCAGGAUACAAAAUCAAUGCACAAAAAUCACAAGCAUUCUUAUACACCAAUAACACAAACUGAGAGCCAAAUCAUGAGUGAACUCCCAUUCACAAUUGCUUCAAAGAGAAUAAAAUACCUAGGAUUCCAACUUACAAGGGACGUGAAGGGCCUCUUCAAGGAGAACUACAAACCACUGCUCAACGAAAUAAAAGAGUAUACAAACAAAUGG
rnacentral:lncRNA from 10 species